rnacentral:misc_RNA from 1 species
UCUGUUGCUGAAAUAGUGAUUGCAACUGAUUUUGGAUACCCAAAGGUAAGCCCAAAAAAAAAAAAGCAUGCGAGUCCUAUUAACAUGAAAUACGACAACAAGGCACUGAUUUAAAAAUCCAAACACACUAACAAGACUCAUAGUCUCCCAGACAUUCAACACAAAAACAGAUCUACACAUAGAAUUUGAAAUUCGACCAAAAAAAAAAUCAAAAACUCAUCAACCAAUCUAUGCAAAGAGUACCACUGCCAAAGGAAGAACAAGAAGAACAACCCAUAAGCGUGCAAGAGAGAAUCCUCAAAAAGCCUUUCCAUUAAAAAGCAACAAUCCACAGACGAAGAACGACGGAAACACUAAAAAAAAGAUGUAAUCAAUGACGGUGGACGCCACUGAAACAGAGCCAAGGAGAACGCCAGAAACUUGAAAUGAAAGGAAGUGAAUGUGAUGGGGGCAACAGGGGCGGGGCGGCGGCGCAGAGAAAGGGACCAAACAAGGGUCAGGGGCUCAGAGCACUGAACUUUCCCUGCGAAAGAGAGUGGGCUGGGCUUUAAACAUGGGUUGGACUGAAGGAGACCCCUAGGAAAGAAAUUACAUGCAGACUAAAUGACAGAACCAUGAUGAGUGAGAGCAUAAACCUACUUCUCCCUCCUCCUCCUCCUCCAACUCCUCUGCUUCCUCCUCCACCUCCUCCGCCUCCUCCACCACCCCCACCACCAGCACCAAUGACCUCAUACUGUACUCCUCCGCCACCUCCACCGCCAAGGUUCAUUUAUGUGACUGGUGUGCCGGGGAAUUUGUAUGUAGCUGAUCCUUACGAUACUUGGAAUUUUUACAGCGCUGCUAGACAGAAUGUUGGCACACGGUUGCUGCUUCUGGCUGGGUUUGGAGCUCUACACUUUUUGAUAAUUUGACGAUCACUUCAUAUUAAUUUGGGGUUAGGCCAUAUUUCUCUCUCUUAAUUAGGUUUUGUUCUUGGUUUAAUUAGAUCAUACUAUUUAAUAUCAACAGAAUUUUCUUCCAUUUAAAUGCUUAUAUAUCAUAUUGGUGGUAUAUGUAUCAAGGCAUGUUUUAUGUAGAUUUAUAUCAAGGAGGUAAACUAUAUAUUUUAGUUUUUUACUUUCUUCAAUAUUAAUUAGAUCCACCACUUAAUUUGUG